GACGAACGCUGGCGGCGUGCUUUACACAUGCAAGUCGAACGGAAAGGCCCUGCUUGGGUGGGGGGCUCGAGUGGCGAACGUGUGAGUAACACGGGUGUAACCUGCCCUGGGCUUGGGGAUAACUUCAGGAAACUGGUGCUAAUGCCGGAUAGGAGCGCGUGCUGCAUGGUGGGGGUUGGAAAGUUUCGGCGGUUGGGGAUGGACUGGCGGCUUAUCAGCUUGUGGGUGGGGUAGUGGCUUACCAAGGCUUUGACGGGUAGCCGGCCUGAGAGGGUGACCGGCCACAUUGGGACUGAGAUACGGCCCAGACUCCUACGGGAGGCAGCAGUGGGGAAUAUUGCACAAUGGGCGGAAGCCUGAUGCAGCAACGCCGCGUGCGGGAUGAAGGCCUUCGGGUUGUAAACCGCUUUCGCCUGUGACGAAGCGUGAGUGACGGUAAUGGGUAAAGAAGCACCGGCUAACUACGUG
rnacentral:rRNA from 1 species